GAUAUGUACACAUUCAAAGUGUUAAUCAUUUAAGCAUAUUAAACAUUAAAUUACUUUUAAAACCAUUUUUUUUUUUUUUUCAAAAGAAAUAGCAGUUUUUAUUAAAUUGUAAUCCACCUUAUCCUACUAAGGCUGCACCUGGAUCUAUUUUUUUUAAUUUAAUUUAAUUUAAAUAACCUUUUUGGAAAGGUAUUUAUACAACGGUAUACAUACUUUUAGAAGGUAAGAUAUAUCGUGGGGUAUCGUUUAUUAGGCAGAUUCCUCUGAGAGUAUAGAAUGCCGCCAAGUUCUUUAGGUUUCAAGAUAGUAACUAU
rnacentral:rRNA from 1 species